rnacentral:rRNA from 1 species
UACGAAGGGGGCUAGCGUUGCUCGGAAUCACUGGGCGUAAAGCGCACGUAGGCGGCUUUCUAAGUCAGAGGUGAAAUCCUGGAGCUCAACUCCAGAACUGCCUUUGAUACUGGGAAGCUUGAGUCCGGAAGAGGUUAGUGGAACUGCGAGUGUAGAGGUGAAAUUCGUAGAUAUUCGCAAGAACACCAGUGGCGAAGGCGGCUAACUGGUCCGGUACUGACGCUGAGGUGCGAAAGCGUGGGGAGCAAACAGG